rnacentral:rRNA from 1 species
CCAAUAGCGUAUAUUAAGGUUGCUGCGGUUAAAAAGCUCGUAGUUGAAUUUCGGGAUUGAUGCAUCGGUCGUGCCUUAAGGGGCAUGAACUGGUGUGGUCAAUUUCUUACCUUCUGGUGAAUUGUGAUGUCCUCCUUAAUUGGGUGUUUCAAUGAACUAGGACUUUUUACUUUGAAAAAAUUAGAGUGUUUAAAGCAGGCAUUAUUUGCUUGAAUACAUUAGCAUGGAAUAAUAAAAUAGGACAAUGAUUCUAUUUUGUUGGUUUCUAGGAUCACUGUAAUGAUUAAUAGGGAUAGUUGGGGGCAUUAGUAUUCAAUUGUCAGAGGUGAAAUUCUUGGAUUAAUUGAAGACUAACUACUGCGAAAGCAUUUGCCAAGGAUAUUUUCAUUAAUCAAGAACGAAAGUUAGGGGAUCGAAGACGAUUAGGUACGUCGUAGUCUUAACCAUAAACUAUGCCGACUAGGAAUCAGACAACGUUAAAUUUUUAAUGACUUGUUUGGCACCAUACG